GAUGAACGCUGGCGGCGUGCCUAAUACAUGCAAGUCGAGCGAACAGACGAGGAGCUUGCUCCUCUGACGUUAGCGGCGGACGGGUGAGUAACACGUGGAUAACCUACCUAUAAGACUGGGAUAAAUUCGGGAAACAGGAGCUAAUACCGGAUAAUAUAUUGAACCGGAGGGUUCAAGAGUUCAAGACGGCUUUGCUGUCACUUAUAGAUGGAUCCGCGCCGCAUUAGCUAGUUGGUAAGGUAACGGCUUACCAAGGCAACGAUGCGUAGCAGACCUGAGAGGAUGAUCAGCCACACUGGAACUGAGACACGGUCCAGACUCCUACGGGAGGCAGCAGUAGGGAAUCUUCCGCAAUGGGCGAAAGCCUGACGCAGCCACGCCGCGUGAGUGAUGAAGGUCUUCGGAUUGUAAAACUCUUUUAUUAGGAAAGAAAAAAUGUGUAAGUAUCUAUGCACGUCUUGACGGUACCUAAUCAAUAAGCCCCGGCUAACUACGUG
rnacentral:rRNA from 1 species